UACAGGGGGGGCAAGCGUUGUUCGGAAUUACUGGGCGUAAAGGGUCUGUAGGUGGCUUGCUAAGUCAGACGUGAAAUCCCUCAGCUUAACUGGGGAACUGCGUCUGAUACUGGUGAGCUUGAGUGCAGGAGAGGAACGCGGAAUUCCAGGUGUAGCGGUGAAAUGCGUAGAUAUCUGGAGGAACACCGGUGGCGAAGGCGGCGUUCUGGGAAGAUACUGACGCUGAGGUGCGAAAGCGUGGGGAGCAAACAGG
rnacentral:rRNA from 1 species